rnacentral:misc_RNA from 1 species
AAUUUUCUUUAGUAGAAAGGAAAAAUGAUGUCUCCAAAGCAAACGAGUGAAGAUCGAGGAUCUCCUCAUUUCAGGCACACUCCUUUGCAGAUAAUCCAUAUUAUUGGAAACUUAUUGAGAAUAUGGUCAGUUUAUUCCAUGUAUCGCAAUUUGUCCCAGCCUGCAGCUUUAGUGGUACCGCCAUCUAUCAUAAAUGGUGCUAUAACAGCUUUAUACUUCAUCUUGUGGGGAAAGGGCCUCAUGUCAUGUGGACCAGUUAGGUAGGUUUAUACUACUUCUAGUUCAUUGUUAGUAUUCAUGAGUUUCUCAAGUGCUUGUUCAAUUGGAAAUACCCCCUUCUUAUUCUUAAUUUAUUGGGACGUGCAUAGUGGGAGCCAGCAGAUUCAUGUAUUGCAAUUUUAGAAAUAAGCAACCUGUAGGAAUGAUAUACAUCGGAUAUUAUAAGUGAAAAAUCAUGUGUAUAUGUGAUGUCGAAUGCAAGAGACUCGUAAAAAAGCAAGUUUAACUAUCAAACUAUGGUAACAUUAAUCUCUAAGACUAAUGUAGAUUCGCUCAGACUAGUCUUGUCUUUUAAAAUUCUUAUUCUGCCAAUUUAUUCAGGGUAAUUUGACAUACUAAGACCACAACUAACAUAGCUUUCUGUACACCCCCCACAACACCCCAAGCCCUUUCCCUACUUCUUGAUGGAUUGCUUCACUUCAUUCAAGAGGAUUUUGAACAUAAAUCUUGCUGGAAAUGGUGUAUGAUUUGUGCACGAGAUGAUAAAUUGGUGGAUCAUCUUUUAGUGCUUUGCCAUGUGGCAAGGGAAUUUCGAUGUCUUGACACUUUUGGUGUCUAGUGCUGUUAUGUCAUGUUCAGUCUUUAAGAUGAUGGAUUCUUCAUGUGAUUUUUGUCUUGUUAUCUGUGGUACAAAAACACUGUAAUUCAUUGUCAAAAUCUUAUAAAAUAAGUAGACAUCCACUAUUUUUGUCAUGUCAUGUGUUGUUCCAUUGUCUUGUAUUGGGACCUAUGGUUCCCUUGUUCUCCUCUUGCCAGGAGUGAAAGCAAUUGAUAUUAUUUUUAAAACUUCGUUUAUGUUAACAGACCCAUGAACGUUUUACUGCUUUCUCAAACUGGAUAUAUCCUUUCUACACUGAUGCAAUUUUCAAGGCUAUUACUGUUUGAACCAAAAUUUAUGAGCUUAUGUUGUUUAUCUUAUUCUUUCUCUGCUGCAUGGUGUCUUGGCGACUUAUUGGUAUCAAUUUUUUGUGGGAUUCUCGGUGCAUGUCCAUAGAACUGCUUGUGUCAGUUGUGGCAUUCUAUUGUCAUCUUUAACUUGGUUGAUUAUGUGUUCUAAGUUUUUUCCAGUCUGCAUUUUAUUGGUAGUUAGAUGGCAGUUUAUUUAAUUCUUUAUUCUGACUCUAGAGCUAUAUUGGCGGAGUAUUCUGGUGCUGUCCUUGGAGUGUUAUCUGCCACAUUAUAUGGUUAGAGAAGCCAUCUCUGGUAAAAGGUAUUAAAAAAAAAGAAGAUAUUCUUAAAGCAAAUAAGAAUUAGAAUUUUAUGUCUGACAUGUUUUCCAUAUGAGUGAUGUGACAUUCCUGGCUUAUAGAUGCCUUUCAAAAUUCUUAUACUACCAUUUAAAAUUCUUUGCUCUGUGAACUGCCAUUUGAUGCUUAACAUAGAUCCUAGAAUGGUUCUUCAAUGGUCAUGUAUUGCUGAUAGGGAAUAAACAUUGUAAACUCAUAGCAAUGUCAAAUUUUUUAUCAUCAGGUACUAAGUAUACUUAGGUACGUGUCUUGGUGGUGUCUUUAUGAUCUGAUAUAUCAGGUUUAAUGCACCAGUCUAUUGCUAUCAGUGGCUUUGAUUUAGAAGAUAUUAAUUGUUUUCUCACUUGUUCAAUGCAUGUUUCAUCUUCUACUAGGUAAGUGGGCUCAUUGCAAUGUUGGCAUCUUUCUACUUCUUAUCUCAAGGGUGGGCAAUGACAACGUAUUCACCUUUUUAUAACCUUUUGUAAAAUGAACAUGGAUCUCAUUUAAAUUUUUAUUACUUUAUUUCUUUUUGCUCAUUCUUAUUCUUGUGCUAAAAAGCGCCUCUUGUUAACUUAAUGUGAAAAUACCAUUCAAAAAUGCUGUUUAUACCGCGGAUCGCACAGAAGACGUUUUGAGCAUGACAGAAAUGAUAGUUCCAAUCCUCGCUGGAAUAUUAUCAGCUUUAAGAAGGGUGAUUGCACGGCGUGUUUCACUCAAGAAUCAACUUAAAAGGAGGCUUCAUGCCAUAACCAUUACUGCAGCAACAUGUUUUCUGUUUCCUGUGGCCAUGUGGGACUUCAUCAUCGGAUCAACUUCUGAUAACAAACAAGAUAGAGUUGCCGUUUUCAGCUUGGGCAUUUCUGAGCACUAUUCUUUUUGGAGUUAUCUUGAUAUUCUAUGUUGACAGCAUUGCAGAAGAGAGAUUGCACAUGGUGUUCUCUUCUCCAAGGCACUUAAUGGUAGCUGGAGGAUGCAUUAUUAUCAUGGAGAUUGUCUAUAAAAUGGACUUUUCUCUACCAGGAUUCAUUAUUUGCUCGUUAAUUUUGGGAUUUGGCAUUUAUGCGGCAACCUCGUUGGAACGAAGUAAAAAGGGUUCUAUUCAGCAUUCAGAUCCUUCAAAUGGCAUGUUGGAAGAACAAUUAGAAACGUCCUCACUUCCAACUUGAAGCGUGCAAUGUUUCUCUUUCAAAGUUGUCGCAACUACAGAACACCAUGAGCAUCCCAGUCCAGUCAGUAAAUUGUUUCCAUUUUUAUAUGAUUAUCUCCAUUUCUGAGGCAAAUGAAGGAUUCAAUUGAAUAUCGGGGAAAACUGACAAGUCUAGUUGGAAUCUCUCACAUGCAUGAUUCUCAUUGAUGGCUGAUUGCUUUUUGUAUUGAAGUGUAUAUAGAUCCAGUAAAUGCGUUUGAAGCACUCAUUUUUUUCUCAUCAGUUGUAGCUUUGAUGUUAAUAAACUUACCAAAACCAUUUUAUUCUUCUCUCUUUCCCUCCUGUGUGCACCUUUUUUUUGUCCUCUCUCUCUAUCACCCCAUCUUGGGUGGUUUAACUUGCAAAUUACCGUUAAUUUCAUAUAUGAAUUGUGA